CAGUCGCCGCGGGAAUACAGAGGGUGCGAGCGUUAAUCGGAUUUACUGGGCGUAAAGCGUGCGUAGGCGGCUGAUUAAGUCGGAUGUGAAAUCCCUGAGCUUAACUUAGGAAUUGCAUUCGAUACUGGUCAGCUAGAGUAUGGGAGAGGAUGGUAGAAUUCCAGGUGUAGCGGUGAAAUGCGUAGAGAUCUGGAGGAAUACCGAUGGCGAAGGCAGCCAUCUGGCCUAAUACUGACGCUGAGGUACGAAAGCAUGGGGAGCAAACAGGAUUAGAUACCCGUGUAGUCCCUGUCUCUUAUAC
rnacentral:rRNA from 1 species